GCAAGUCGAGCGGUAACACGAGAAGCUUGCUUCUCGCUGACGAGCGGGGGACGGGUGCGUAAUACUUAGGAAUCUACCUAGGAGUGGGGGAUAGCUCGGGGAAACUCGAAUUAAUACCGCAUACGACCUACGGGAGAAAGGGGGAACCUUGUUGCUCUCGCUAUUAGAUGAGCCUAAGUCGGAUUAGCUAGAUGGUGAGGUAAAGGCCUACCAUGGCGACGAUCUGUAGCUGGUCUGAGAGGAUGAUC
rnacentral:rRNA from 1 species